rnacentral:lncRNA from 1 species
AUGAUGAUUCUGUGGCCAGAAAGAGUACAACGAAGCUCUCUAAUUCUUGAUAGUCACUUUGCCUCCUGGUGCAGCGAUGGUGGCCACAUAAAGCUUCCUUUGAAGGUGACUGGAGUCUUGAGCUUGAAUCAGUACCACAGGGAUACAGGGAAAGGCAAGACUCCACUCCCCUGUCAAACUCUGACAAUGUGUGAUAGCGCAGGUGUUUAUGCUCUGUACUACUGUUUGACAAGGCUAAUGUAGAACUGAAUUAAAUAUUAAUUUGUCUAAUAUGUUAGACAUAUAGAAGUAGACAGGGAACACAGCUGGCAAAAUUGCAUUUCUGACUGUUAAGACUACUGUUAUAGUCUUCUUUGUACCUCAUGCUGUUUUCAUACCACUAGACUGAUGUUUAUUUUUACAGGAUCACGCCUGCUGUCAUCCAUAUCAUUACCACCUCAUCUCCUUCUAGGAUAUAGUAAAAAGUAAUCAAUAAUGUAUACUAUAAGAAGGUCUUCAGACGUUAAGUUCUCCCUGUUAUCUCCUGAUAAUAAAUGACUAAAAAAUUCCUUCUAAAAUUCA